rnacentral:rRNA from 1 species
AGUGAACGCUGGCGGUAGGCCUAACACAUGCAAGUCGAACGGCAGCACAGUAAGAGCUUGCUCUUACGGGUGGCGAGUGGCGGACGGGUGAGGAAUACAUCGGAAUCUACUUUUUCGUGGGGGAUAACGUAGGGAAACUUACGCUAAUACCGCAUACGACCUACGGGUGAAAGCAGGGGAUCUUCGGACCUUGCGCGAUUGAAUGAGCCGAUGUCGGAUUAGCUAGUUGGCGGGGUAAAGGCCCACCAAGGCGACGAUCCGUAGCUGGUCUGAGAGGAUGAUCAGCCACACUGGAACUGAGACACGGUCAAGACUCCUACGGGAGGCAGCAGUGGGGAAUAUUGGACAAUGGGCGCAAGCCUGAUCCAGCCAGACCGCGUGGGUGAAGAAGGCCUUCGGGUUGUAAAGCCCUUUUGUUGGGAAAGAAAAGCAGCAGGUUAAUACCCCGCUGUUCUGACGGUACCCAAAGAAUAAGCACCGGCUAACUUCGUG